GUGGGGAAUCUUGGACAAUGGGGGCAACCCUGAUCCAGCCAUGCCGCGUGAGCGAUGAAGGCCUUAGGGUUGUAAAGCUCUUUCAGCGGGGAAGAUAAUGACGGUACCCGCAGAAGAAGCCCCGGCUAACUCCGUGCCAGCAGCCGCGGUAAUACGGAGGGGGCUAGCGUUGUUCGGAAUUACUGGGCGUAAAGCGCACGUAGGCGGACCAUCAAGUUGGGGGUGAAAUCCCGGGGCUCAACCCCGGAACUGCCUCCAAAACUGCUGGUCUGGAGGUCGAGAGAGGUGAGUGGAAUUCCGAGUGUAGAGGUGAAAUUCGUAGAUAUUCGGAGGAACACCAGUGGCGAAGGCGGCUCACUGGCUCGAUACUGACGCUGAGGUGCGAAAGCGUGGGGAGCAAACAGGAUUAGAAACCCGAGUAGUCC
rnacentral:rRNA from 1 species